AGUGAACGCUGGCGGUAGGCCUAACACAUGCAAGUCGAACGGCAGCACAGUAAGAGCUUGCUCUUACGGGUGGCGAGUGGCGGACGGGUGAGGAAUACAUCGGAAUCUACUUUUUCGUGGGGGAUAACGCAGGGAAACUUACGCUAAUACCGCAUACGACCUACGGGUGAAAGCAGGGGAUCUUCGGACCUUGCGUGAUUGAAUGAGCCGAUGUCGGAUUAGCUAGUUGGCGGGGUAAAGGCCCACCAAGGCGACGAUCCGUAGCUGGUCUGAGAGGAUGAUCGGCCACACUGGAACUGAGACACGGUCCAGACUCCUACGGGAGGCAGCAGUGGGGAAUAUUGGACAAUGGGCGCAAGCCUGAUCCAGCCAUACCGCGUGGGUGAAGAAGGCCUUCGGGUUGUAAAGCCCUUUUGUUGGGAAAGAAAAGCAGCAGGUUAAUACCCCGCUGUUCUGACGGUACCCAAAGAAUAAGCACCGGCUAACUUCGUG
rnacentral:rRNA from 1 species